AGAGUUUGAUCCUGGCUCAGGACGAACGCUGGCGGCGCGCUUAACACAUGCAAGUCGAGCGAGAACCAGGCCUUCGGGCCUGGGGAAAGCGGCGAACGGGUGAGUAACACGUGGGUAACCCACCCUUGGCACCGGGAUAGCCCGGGGAAACCCGGAGUAAUACCGGAUGGCCCNACAGCUCUUCGGGGCGGUUGGAAAGGUAGCUUCGGCCUCCGGCCAAGGACGGGCCCGCGGCGGAUUAGCUUGUUGGUGGGGUAACGGCCUACCAAGGCGACGAUCCGUAGCUGGUCUGAGAGGACGAUCAGCCACACUGGGACUGAGACACGGCCCAACUCCUACGGGAGGCAGCAGUGGGGAAUCUUGCGCAAUGGGCGAA
rnacentral:rRNA from 1 species